rnacentral:tRNA from 1 species
GUCUCGGUGGCGCAAUUGGUAAGCUUGCCCUUCAUCAAAAUCAUCCAAUCAUCCAAUCAUCCAGUUACUAAUUCAAUAUAAAGGUUAGCGCGUACGACUGUUAAUCGUGAGGUUGAGAGUUCGAUCCUCUCCCGGGACG